rnacentral:tRNA from 1 species
GGAACUGCAGGGCGGAAAUAUUCACCGCCACUGGCACUGGCGGCAGCCCUUGUUCCUGCCAGCGGCGGUUCUG